CAGUAGCCACGGGAAUACAGAGGGUGCGAGCGUUAAUCGGAUUUACUGGGCGUAAAGCGUGCGUAGGCGGCUUCUUAAGUCGGAUGUGAAAUCCCUGAGCUUAACUUAGGAAUUGCAUUCGAUACUGGGAAGCUAGAGUAUGGGAGAGGAUGGUAGAAUUCCAGGUGUAGCGGUAAAAUGCGUAGAGAUCUGGAGGAAUACCGAUGGCGAAGGCAGCCAUCUGGCCUAAUACUGACGCUGAGGUACGAAAGCAUGGGGAGCAAACAGGAUUAGAUACCCGGGUAGUCCCUGUCUCUUAUAC
rnacentral:rRNA from 1 species